rnacentral:rRNA from 1 species
UACGUAGGGUGCGAGCGUUGUCCGGAAUUAUUGGGCGUAAAGAGCUUGUAGGCGGUUUGUCGCGUCUGCUGUGAAAAUCCGGGGCUCAACCCCGGACUUGCAGUGGGUACGGGCAGACUAGAGUGUGGUAGGGGAGACUGGAAUUCCUGGUGUAGCGGUGAAAUGCGCAGAUAUCAGGAGGAACACCAGCGGCGAAGGCGGCGCUCUGGGCCGGAACUGACGCUGAGGAGCGAAAGCGUGGGUAGCAAACAGG